AGGGGCCGCAGUAGUUACAGGAAUGGAAGCAUUUCGAAGAGGCCUGUUCUAUCGAGCAGUCGACCAAGCUCCUCUGGGGAGCCAAGUGAAAUCCGAUCAAGUCGCCUGGUGUCAGCAAGUAGUCGUCUAUCUGCAGGGCAAAGGGUUCAACCUGGUUUUGAGUCCAAAACGACAACUUUUACCCGUUCUUCAACUACAAAAGGCGGUCGUGAUGAUACACUCCGGAGCUUUGAGCUGUUGUCUAUUGGAACUGGCAAGAGGAAAUGAAAAAAGAAACAGAUCAAUGUGGGUAACUAGUGGCCGUGUGAAUG
rnacentral:misc_RNA from 1 species